CUUCCGGACCUAUAUUUCUAUUUUUGAUAUACUCCCUUAAAAAAUUGAUUCUUUUAUGAACAAUAUUUGGCAAGUCCAUCAAAUAUUUUCUGUUAUUUGAUUUUUUCCACUUGAAGCCUAUACAAUUGAUCCAUCUUCUUAACGAGUCAAUGGAAAACUCAAAAUAUUCAAUUUCUUCCCUGAACUUUUCUCUUAUUAUUGCCAAUAUUACAUAUUCUUUUCUGGCGUACAUAGAAUAAAUUGUGUUCCGAAUUCUAUGUUUCAAAUAUGUUGUAAUUUUGGCUUUUGCUGCCUUUUGCUUGGAAGAUAUACGGGCUGCGUAAUCCUGAUCUGAUUUUAUCCCAUUCUUCUUUAUGUUUGCGAACGUUGUUGUGCUCAAUUUUGUUGCAUCUGCGGCUCGCUGUAUCACAUUCUCAAUUUGAACAAUUCCGUUUCGGACUUGUUUCUUUUCCAGUUGAAAAAAAAACAAUAUAUUUAUUAAAAUAAUCAGCUGCGAUUGUUCAUUAUACCUAUUAUAUCUUUUUUUAGGCAUUAUCUUACACUUUUCGAAAUAACUUUCAAGAACAAGUUGACAAACCAAUAUUUUUGAUUGACAGUGAUGGAUAUUUCACAUAACCUAGUAUAUAAAAGAUGAAUAGUCAUCAGACACCAAUUUUUUUAAAAAUUUUGUCAAAGAUUCAAAAGAUUUCAAAAAUAUAUAAUAUGUUAAUAUUUGGUUUAGCCGUUUUCCCAAUAUUUAUCUUUAAAAAAUUAAAAAAUAAAACUGUUUACCCGAAUCCCCGUUGCUAUGGUGUUUAUCGGUAACAAUAAAAUAAAUAAUGUUAUUUGUUGGGCUGUCACUGUCAAUGUUUCUGCUAUUUCUUUUGAAUAUGGGUUAUACCGAAGAAGAAAAGUUUGAAAUUAUGAGGUGGUUUUACAAAAACAACAAUAAUGUUUCUCGAGCGCAAGCUGAAUAUCACCGUAUUCAUCCCGAAAUGAGAGUUCCUGCUAGGUCCACUUUUUAUUACACUGAAAGGAGUAUGAGAAACCACAAAAAUCUACAAAGAAAAAAACGAACAGUUUUAGCUAACGCGGAUGAAGAACUACAAAUUUUAUUAUAUUUUCAAGAAAAACCAUAUUUAUCAACCGUAGAUGCUAGUAGACACUUUCAAUGCUCUAGAUCUAAGAUUCAAAGAGUUCUUUAGAAAUAUGGAUAUCAUCCUUACAAAUUGAUGCCAGUACAAAAAUUAACAAAUAAUCAUGAAAUAAGAAGGCUAACAGACUGUAAUCAGAUGUUAGAUAUAAAAAACGUAGAUAACGAUAUCUUUAAUAAAAUCUUGUGGACGGAUGAAGCUGUAUUUACAACAGCAGGGAUGUAUAAUAGAAAAAAUACUCACAUGUGGGCACCAGCAAAUCCUCACGCAUACUUCGAAAUAAAAAAACAGGGCAGAAUGUCAUUAAAUGUGUGGUGUGGUAUCCUUAGAAACCAAAUAAUUGGACCCAUUAUAUUUCAAAGAUCUUUGACUGGAAAUAGGUAUUUGCGGUUUCUAGAAAAUGAGAUUGAAGCUUUAUUAGAAGAAAUACCUUUAAGAGAAUAUACCAAUAUUAUAUGGCAUCAAGAUGGCGCCCCGCCUCAAAACUUUAGGCCAGUAAGGAUUUUUUUAAAUAAUCGUUUUAUUCAGUGGAUUGGAACCCAUGGUACCAUUAACUGGCCACCAAACAGCCCUGAUUUGACUCCUCUAGAUAGUUUUUUAUGGGGGUAUCUUAAAAAUGAAGUUUAUAAGGAAAGAAGUGAAAAUUUGGAGGAAUUAAGGGAAAAAAUUCAAAGAAGUAUAAACUCCUUAAAUGAAGAACACCCUGAAUAUAUUUCAAAUGCUCUGUUAAAACUGGACAAAGAUUAUAGAAACUGCGUUGAAAAUAAUGGCGGCCAUAUACAACAUUUGUAAAUAUUUAAAGAAACAAGGCUCAAAGGUUUUUUUUUUCAAAAAACCAAAUUUUUUUAAACAUGAUGAAUUAAAUAUUAACAUUUUAUAUAUUUUUGAAAUUAGAAAAAAAAAUUCUUUCAUUUAAAGUAAAAAUAUACAAGGGGUUCCAUUUAAAAAAAAUUAAUGAAAAUAAACGAAUUAAUGAAAUAAACACAAAUAACUUUGUGUUUUUUAUUAACUUUGCGAUACCCCUGUAUUAUAUUUUAUAACAUUUCCUGGCGAUUUAAGGUAAACCCUAUAACUUUUAUAUCAAACUUUUUUUUCCACCUCGUAUAGUAACCGAGCCAGGCUCUGUCUAAAUAUAAAAGACAACCCUGUACAUUCAUCGGUAAAACAAAUAUUUCUUAAAAAAUUCCUAUCAUUAUUUGCUCUUUCCAUCAUUUUAAAACAAAAUGCCAUUCUUCGCUCUUCAUCUCCUUCCUGCAGCUCUUGAUGUUUCUAGAAUUUAUACGAAUAAUAUUUGUGUGUUUUUAAAGUGCGCAAUACAGAUGUAUGGUGUUUAUUUACCUCUUGCCCAAGAACCCUCGUACUAACCAUCUUGUUUUCCUCCACACUCAGUAGAAUAUUAAGAUCUCUGUUCUCUCUUUCUUCGGCUCUAUUUUCGAUAUCCUGAGUUGAACAUGAUAGUCAGGAUAUCGGGCCAACAAACUAAAUUCCAAAAAUGUUUGUUGUUUAUUGCUAUGGUGAUAAGAAUUACCUUCGCUCUUGAUUUUUUAAAAUUCUAAGUUAAAUAAAGUCGAAAUUAUACCCAUUUGUAGUUACGUCAUCCAGGUGAGAAAAAACGUAUGGCGUAGAUAUUUUCGCCAAUCAAUAUUAGGUUAUAAACUUUACAAUCGCCUUCAGAAAUUAAUAGUCUGCUAUGUAUUUUUAUACGUUCAGAAAUUAACAAAUGAUUUAUUUUAGCAGCAUAUUAUUAUAUUUUUAUAUUCAUGUAUAUACUUUCAUUCCCAAAAAAUUAAAAAAAAAUCUUGUAGUAUUUAUUGUAAUAUUAACAAACUUAACAAUUAACAAAUAUUAUUACAAUUAAUCAUAAAUAAUGGGACAUAAACAACAAGUCCGAAACGGAAUUGCACUUCAAAUUGAAAAUGUGAUAGAGCGAGCCGCAGAUGCAACAAAAUUGAGCACAACAACGAUCACAAAUAUAAAGAAGAAUGGGAUAAAAUCAGAUCAGGAUUACGCUGCUCAUAUAUUUUCCAAGCAAAAGACCGCAAAAACCAAAUCUACAACAUAUUUGAAAAGUAGAAUUCGGCACGAGCAGUAGACGUAACAAAACCGAGCUUACAAAAAUUGUGAAUAAUGGUAUAAAAUUAUUUUAA